UCGAGAAUCAUUCGCAAUGGGCGAAAGCCUGACCCAGCAACGCCGCGUGAAGGAUGAAGUAUUUCGGUAUGUAAACUUCGAAAGAAUAGGAAGAAUAAAUGACGGUACUAUUUAUAAGGUCCGGCUAACUACGUGCCAGCAGCCGCGGUAAUACGUAGGGACCAAGCGUUGUUCGGAUUUACUGGGCGUAAAGGGCGCGUAGGCGGCAAUUCAAGUCAUCUGUGAAAUCUCCGGGCUUAACUCGGAACGGUCAGAUGAUACUGCUUUGCUAGAGUGCAGAAGGGGCAAUCGGAAUUCUUGGUGUAGCGGUGAAAUGCGUAGAUAUCAAGAGGAACACCUGAGGUGAAGACGGGUUGCUGGGCUGACACUGACGCUGAGGCGCGAAAGCCAGGGGAGCAAACGGGAUUAGAUACCCCCGUAGUCCCUGAGCGGGCUGGCAAGGCGCAU
rnacentral:rRNA from 1 species